ACUGGCAGCUAUCUCUCUGCAACUCUCACGUGGUCGCCCACUGAAGCUAAGCAGGGCUGUGCCCAGACAGUAUUUGGAUGGAAGACUACAUCAGAAAGCUAAGUUGCUGCUGAAA
rnacentral:rRNA from 1 species